rnacentral:rRNA from 1 species
GUGAGGAAUAUUGCGCAAUGGCGGCAACUCUGACGCAGCCAUGCCGCGUGCAGGAAGAAGGCGCUACGCGUUGUCAACUGCUUUUAACCGGGAAGAAACCCCAGGACGUGUCCUGGGUUGACGGUACCGGAGGAAUAAGCUCCGGCUAACUCCGUGCCAGCAGCCGCGGUAAUACGGCGGGUGCAAGCGUUAUCCGGAUUUAUUGGGUUUAAAGGGUGCGUAGGCGGAGCGUUACGUCAGUGGUGAAAUCCUGCAGCUUAACUGUAGACUUGCCAUUGAUACUGGCGCUCUUGAGUGCGCUUGAAGUGGGCGGAAUGUGCAGUGUAGCGGUGAAAUGCUUAGAUAUGGCACAGAACACCAAUUGCGAAGGCAGCUCACUAAGGCGAUACUGACGCUGAGGCACGAAAGCGUGGGGAUCGAACAGGAUUAGAAACCCCAGUAGUCC